CAGAUAAAGUUAAGAUAUUAAAAUAUACUUUCAGCCUAUUUUCGCAAAAGGGGAUCAUCUCAUUACAUUUCCAACAAAAUAGCUCAUAUUUCAGAAAUUGUCUACGGAUCAACGAGGGAAGAUUGUUGGUGGGUCCGUUCAUUGUGUUUCUUCAUUUGCAAUUUUUUCUUGGCUCCUUCAAGAAAAGAGAAGUGUUUUACCAGUUAAUAAUAUGAACAUUCCAAUUGUUGGCAAUGGACUGGAAGAGUUGUAGUAGUGGGCUUAGAGAGCUAAGGCCUUUGGUGCACUUGCUUUUGCCACUUUCUAUUCAUUGGAUGGCUGAGGAAAUGACUGUUUCCGUUCUUGUUGAUGUUGUUACUAAUGCUUUGUGUCCUGGAGAAUCUACUUGCUCUCAGGCUAUUUAUCUCAAUGGUCUCCAACAAACGGUGAUUGGAAUUUUCAAGAUGGUGGUAUUACCACUCUUGGGCCAACUUGCAGAUGAUUAUGGGCGUAAACCAUUUCUACUUCUUACUAUAUCCACAUCCAUUAUUCCUUUUGCUUUGUUUGCCUGGAACCAAUCUAAAGGAUUUGUUUAUGCAUUCUAUGUACUUCGUACAAUUUCAUACAUUAUAAGUCAAGGGAGUGUUUUCUGCAUUUCUGUUGCUUAUGCGGCAGAUUUUAUUAAAGAAAGCAUGAGGGCUGCAGCAUUUAGUUGGAUCACUGGACUUUUUUCUGCUUCUCAUCUCUUGGGCAAUGUUCUGGCACGUUUUCUUCCUGAGAAGUACAUUUUUCUGGUUUCAGUUGUUCUCUUGAUCAGUUGCCCAGUUUAUAUGCAAUUCUUUCUAGUUGAGACAAUUGAACGAACUCCAGCUAGGGACCAAGAUUCAACCUUCUUGAUUAAGAUUAUUAAAGUUUUUCAAACACGAUAUAAAUCAAUGAAGGAUGCGGCAACAAUAGUCUUUAGCAGCCAUACACUUAGAGGCAUUUCUUUUGUUUCCUUUUUCUAUGAGUUGGGGAUGUCCGGCAUCAGCAUCGUCUUAUUUUAUUAUCUGAAGGCAGCAUUUGGUUUUAGCAAAAAUCAAUAUUCAGAAAUUCUGGCAAUGGUGGAAGUUGGUGAAAUUUUAUCUCAGAUUGUGUUGCUUCCUGUUAUCAAUCCUUUGGUUGGAGAGAAAGUGAUACUGUGUCUCGGCUUACUUGCAUCAAUAGCUUAUGCAUUGUUCUACGGUUUGGCGUGGGCAUCUUGGGUGGCAUAUUUGAGUGCCUCUUUCGGAGCCAUUUAUGUCCUUGUGACACCUUCUACCUAUGCUAUAGUUUCCAAAGCAUCAAGCUCAGCAGAUCAGGGAAAAGCACAAGGAUUUGUUGCUGGUGUGCAAUCAGUAGCAAGUUUGUUAUCCCCUCUGGCAAUGAGUCCAUUAACUUGUGAGUUGUUGAGCAUGGUUUCUAUCUAGCAAUGCCCCAUUCAACUGCAAAGGUUUCAGCAUCAUAAUUGCAUCACUAUGCAUGAUGGUUGCUUUAUGCAUUGCUUGCCUGCUUAAACUGGAGCAACAUUCAACGCGGGCGGAAGACACUGAAACAACACAUUUUAUCUGAAAAUUAAUUUUCUACGCGAUCGAUUAGUUUUCUGAGACAAAUGAUGUUAAUAUGCAUGUGACAUUUAUUAGUCAUAUAGUGGAUGUAUUUGUAUUAGUGUAAAUGUUUUGUUGACAUUGAUGAGAUUUGACGAAUCUUAAUGUCACUAUUAGUAUUUAGGCUA